rnacentral:rRNA from 1 species
AGUGAACGCUGGCGGUAGGCCUAACACAUGCAAGUCGAACGGCAGCACAGUAAGAGCUUGCUCUUACGGGUGGCGAGUGGCGGACGGGUGAGGAAUACAUCGGAAUCUACUUUUUCGUGGGGGAUAACGUAGGGAAACUUACGCUAAUACCGCAUACGACCUACGGGUGAAAGCAGGGGAUCUUCGGACCUUGCGCGAUUGAAUGAGCCGAUGUCGGAUUAGCUAGUUGGCGGGGUAAAGGCCCACCAAGGCGACGAUCCGUAGCUGGUCUGAGAGGAUGAUCGGCAACACUGGAACUGAGACACGGUCCAGACUCCUACGGGAGGCAGCAGUGGGGAAUAUUGGACAAUGGGCGCAAGCCUGAUCCAGCCAUACCGCGUGGGUGAAGAAGGCCUUCGGGUUGUAAAGCCCUUUUGUUGGGAAAGAAAAGCAGCAGGUUAAUACCCCGCUGUUCUGACGGUACCCAAAGAAUAAGCACCGGCUAACUUCGUG